AUGUCAUAUCUGCAGAGCUUUGGUGCAAACAAAAUACAGCCAAGGAAGAGACCCUUUAUCACCGCCCCAAAUUCUCAUGGGAAGGACUUAAAACAUCAUCCUAACAGGACUCACGUCAUCAGCAUCCAGCAGGAGCUGACCAGGAACAUGGGAUUUACGGAAUGGAUCCGAGCAGUUGUGAAGUGCAUCGGUAUGGAAACAGAUAUUGCACAGCAGCACUGAUAAAGUUCAAGCCUGUAGCUGCUGAUAGCCAGAAUAAAAGGAUUGUUUAAUGCCAUGGCUAUGGAAUUUUUGUGUGAAUUUUCCGCUCUGACAUGAGGAGCUGUAGCAGUUCCUGGGUGCCAGCACCACUCUCACCUGCUGCUGGAGCCACCUGGAAGGCACAAGGCUCACUUGAAUGAUUCUGGGCAGGACCCUGAAUUUAUCACUUUCUGACUCAUCCCAGAGGACCUGGCUUCAUUUAGUGAACAGGACAGAUGUUUCUGAGGUU